rnacentral:rRNA from 1 species
UCCGUAGGUGAACCUGCGGAAGGAUCAUUGUCGAAUCCUGUCCAAAACAGAACGACCUGCGAACCAAAGAUCAUCACUCAUGGUGGGCCGGUUUCUUAGCUGAGAUCGUGCUUGCCAAAUCCGUGGUUUCGCGAAUAAUCCUUACCGUGAUCUUGAUCUCUGUUUGGGUUAUGCGCGUUGCUUCCGGAUAUCACAAAACCACGGCACGAAAAGUGUCAAGGAACAUGCAACGGAACAGCUAGCAUUCGUCUCCCCGGAGACAGUGUGUGUGCGGAUGCUGCGCUGUGAUCUAAAGUCUAAAAUGACUCUCGGCAACGGAUAUCUCAGCUCUCGCAUCGAUGAAGAACGUAGCGAAAUGCGAUACUUGGUGUGAAUUGCAGAAUCCCGUGAACCAUCGAGUCUUUGAACGCAAGUUGCGCCCUAAGCCUUUUGGCCGAGGGCACGUCUGCCUGGGUGUCACAAAUCGUCGUCCCUUCUCAUCCUCAAAGGGUGUGGGACGGAAGCUGGUCUCCCGUGUGUUACUGCAUGCGGUUGGCCAAAAUCCGAGCUAAGGAUGCCAAGGAGCAUCUUGACAUGCGGUGGUGAAUCAAAGCCUCUUCGUAUAGUCGGUUGUUUCUUGUCCACAAGCUCUCGAUGACCCGAAGUCCUCAAAGCGACCCCAGGUCAGGCGGGAUCACCCGCUGAGUUUAAGCAUAUCAAUAAGCGGAGGA